UACGUAGGGGGCAAGCGUUGUCCGGAUUCAUUGGGCGUAAAGAGCGUGUAGGCGGCCAGGUAGGUCGGUUGUGAAAACUGGAGGCUCAACCUUCAGAGGUCGACCGAAACCAUCUGGCUAGAGUCCGGGAGAGGAGAGUGGAAUUCCUGGUGUAGCGGUGAAAUGACGCAGAUAUCAGGAAGAACACCCGUGGCUAAGGCGGCUCUCUAGUACGGUACUGACGCUGAGACGCGAAAGCGUGGGGAGCGAACAGG
rnacentral:rRNA from 1 species